rnacentral:rRNA from 1 species
AGCGAACGCUGGCGGCAGGCCUAACACAUGCAAGUCGAACGAACCUUUCGGGGUUAGUGGCGGACGGGUGAGUAACACGUGGGAACGUGCCUUUAGGUUCGGAAUAACUCAGGGAAACUUGUGCUAAUACCGCAUGUGCCCUUCGGGGGAAAGAUUUAUCGCCUUUAGAGCGGCCGGCGUCUGAUUAGCUAGUUGGUUGAGGUAAUGGCUCACCAAGGCGACGAUCAGUAGCUGGGCUGAGAGGAUGAUCAGCCACAUUGGGACUGAGACACGGCCCAAACUCCUACGGGAGGCAGCAGUGGGGAAUCUUGCGCAAUGGGCGAAAGCCUGACGCAGCCAUGCCGCGUGAAUGAUGAAGGUCUUAGGAUUGUAAAAUUCUUUCACCGGGGACGAUAAUGACGGUACCCGGAGAAGAAGCCCCGGCUAACUUCGUG